rnacentral:rRNA from 1 species
GACGCACGCAGGCGGCGUGCCUAAUACAUGCAAGUAGAACGCAGUUGCGAACGGGUGAGUAACGCGUAGGUAACUGCCUCAUAGCGGGGGAUAACUAUUGGAAACGAUAGCUAAUACCGCAUACUGUGAGAUGGACCUGCGUUGUAUUAGCUAGUUGGUGAGGUAAAGGCUCACCAAGGCGACGGUACAUAGCCGACCUGAGAGGGUGAUCGGCCACACGGGGACGUAGACACUGCCCAGACCCCUACGGGAGGCAGCAGUAGGGAAUCUUCGGCAACUGACGCAAGUGUGACCGAGCAACGCCGCGUGAGUGAAGAAGGUUGUCGGAGCGUAAAGCUCGGUUGUGAUGGAAGCGGUCACUAACCAGAAAGGGACGGCUAGCUACGAGUCAGCAGCCGCGGUAAUUC